CAAUACAACUAUAACCAUUAACUCAUAAUACACACUUAUUCAAUCAGCUUUCCUUUUCCUUUGUUCGUGCCUGAGCCUUCAGAUUGCUCAUACAUAACUGAAAACAUUUAAUUUAAGCAAGGAUGAGCAUUUAAGUGCCCAGCAAGUAAUAGCAAUUAUAUAUAAGCUGAAAGAAUAUAAGUAUUCUCUUUACAUAACACUUCUACAACGAAUUGAAAGUUGUGAAGUAAUCUGUACUGAUAAAAAAUUCACAUAACAACUCUCUUUCAAAUUCUUUAAAUUUGGCUCUGGCUCUACCCUUGAAUAGGGUUUAAGAAACAUACUAUGAACAUUCUUUUCAUUUUCGAAAAGGUUUAGCGGAAUUCUAUCCUCAAACCGUCAUAACUUACGGGCACGGAGGGUGAUCAGCCCCGUUGUACCCUGUAUUGAUCAAUACUACAUAACUUGAACGAAAUUCAUCGCUCACUCUAUCCGCCUUGCGCAAAAAUCUUCCCAUAUAGGGAUGUUCAUACAUGCCUGGUUCCAAACCCGAAGGUUUUUAAUCUUGCUCAACAAUAAUAUGUAAUUCAACAUAUAUAUACGGGUAAUUGACAAAGGUGUAUCAACAUGUGAACAAAUGCCAUGAUUAUCCAAGUGGGGACACUUGUAUAACCAUUUAUAGAAAUCAAUGAACAGAAUAUAUAUCUGAGCUAACAUGUCGAUAAUCAAAGAGUACAUAAUCUGUACAGGGAUAGAAUAAUUCUGAAACUUCUUACUCAUGUCCAUUGCAUAAAGGAAGUGCAAAGGUAGGAUACUUGCCUGAUUCGCUGAUUACAAAUCUCAACUUAGGUUUUAUCUCUUUAUCACAACCUAUCAAUAAUCAGAUCAUUCGUUCGAUUAGAACAAUAUAUCUUAACACAUAGUACUGUCUAUUACAGUCAGCACAUAGUCUAAUCACAUAAUCACAGUGAUCAUACUUUUAGUUCCUAUUCUAUACUUGAAAUAUUUUUAUACAUUUUUCAAAUAUCUCAUCCAUGCUCUUACAGUAGUCUUUUCUUUCUUUUAUAAGGUCUGACAUUUGUCGGCGUACCGACAGCUUUAUCGGGUAAAUACUGAGUCUAAGACUCUUAUUCUAUACCUCAACAUCUGUAAAUAUCAGACAUCUUAUUUUUAAUCAUUUUCGCAAUUUCCAGAAAUUGAAAAAUUUAAAAUAAUUCAAAUCUGUCACUAAAGGGCCUAUAGUGAUAUAACUGUUACUAUAGGUGUUCUUCUUCAAAUUCAGAACUUCAUAAUCGGUUCUCAAGUCAGCUAGUUUGGCCGGCUAUAACUUUCAAAUAUCGGAAUCAUAAUUAAAUGAUUUAAACAUUAAACAAUUCCAUUAUCAUUAAUAGUUUAAUUAAUACUAAACUAUUAAUGAAACCAUUGCCAAAAUAUAAAAGUUAUUUAUAAUAACUCAAACUAUUUUUAAAACAUUUAUAUUACCCAAAUAAUUACCAUUAAUAUUUAAAUAUUAAUGUACUAUUUAUCCAAAUAUUAAAAGUCAUUAAUUAUAACUUAAAAUAUUUUUAAAUCCUUAAUAUCCUCUUUAAAUGGUUUUUAAAUAAGUAAAACCAUUUUUAAACUAUUUAUUUAAUAUUAAUCAUUAAAUAAACUAAAUAUCAUUAAUAUUAUCUUAAUAUCAUUAAUAUUUAAUUAUUAAUGAAAUUAUCAUUUAAAUAUUAAAAGUUAUAUUUUAUAACUUAAAAUAUUUUUAAAUACCUUAUUUUCAUUUAAAAUGAUUUUUAUAAUAUUAAAAUCAUUUUUAAACUAAAUUAUUUAAUAUAAUCAUUAAAUAACUUUAAUAUCAUUAAUAAUUAUUAAUUAAUGAAAUUCAUCACAAAAUAUUAAAAGUCAUCACAAAUAACUCAUUUACAUAAUCAAUUCCAAGCCAAAAUAAACAUAGUAAACUAACUAGUUUAUUAACAACACUAACUAAACUUCAAAAAUUCAAACUUUAACUAACAAUUAAAAAUAAUAACAUUACAAAAAUUAAAUAAGAAACAUACCCGGAAAUACGAAUUCCACAGACUGAAUACGCACUUCCACGCCAAAAUUUAACUAAGGAGAUCUUUAUAAAAAGUUCUCCCACAACAAAGCCUUUCUCAAAAAUUG
rnacentral:lncRNA from 1 species